GGGGGUGAUCGGCUUCGACGGGGAAGGUUGGUCACAGGUGGCAAGCCGGGGCGCUCUGGCCUCGUUAAAAACGGAGCAAAACUUUAGGUGCCAAAACACCAGUUUUCGCGGGUAACGCUUCUUACUCAGCCCUUCCGUUGGCUGCGUAGGCUUACCCCUAUCACCUGCGGGUGAUACGUCUGCCUCAGCCUCGAGCUGGUGGGCUGAGGGCCAGAUGUCAUAAAUGCCAGCGUGCGGCCGCCCGACGCCGUUGAGGUGGCCUAAGACGAACGGCUGGCCGCUGCAGCGCUCUGUCUGCCGUGUGCGCGGCGGCGAGACUCAAACGACCGACUAAGCUUGUAGGCACUUGUGGCCGAGUUCUUCGGACACGGGUUCGAUUCCCGUCACCUCCACAA
rnacentral:tmRNA from 1 species